AUGCAGCAUGGAAGGAAGAGGACCACGGUGACAGAGCAAUGGAUGAAUAAAGAGGCACUUAAGACCAGGUCAGGGGCCAGUUUGAGUGCUGGGUGCUCCUCUUCCAAUGCAGAUCUCUGCUAUGGCCUGGGAAAACAGCUGAAGAUGGCCCAGGGGCAUGACCCCCUGCACCCACUUGGGAGACCUGGAAGAAGCUCCUGGCUCCUGGCUUCUGUAGAGCUCAGCUCCAGACGUUGCAGCCAUUUGGGGAGUGAACCAGCAGAUGGAAGACCUUUCUCUCUGCCUCUCAAUUAAAAAAAUAAAAUAUUUUUUAAAGAAAGACCA
rnacentral:lncRNA from 1 species